CAGAUAGCAAAAAAAAACGACUUAAGUACUUUACACACCUGUUUUUCUGCAUGGAGAGGUUGGCUCUAGGACCUUGAAGAUGCUGGCGCCGCGGCACGAUACUGCAAAUYGGAUUUCCUUGUCCAAGAGAAAGGCUGUUUACGAAGAAAGCUCUACUCACUUCGACAAAAAAGGGCUGAUCUGCAGAUGGGAGCAGUUUGACUGAAUUAUUCAGCAUAGGCUCUUCCGCACAAAGUAWUUUUUUGGGUUGAGAAAUAACCUAUCAAUUUAAUUUUCGUGCAUAUUGUUUUCGUUUUUAUUCAUCCUAUAAAUUCUACAGUAUGUUUUUGUCGUUGCACUUUGUUUUGCUGAGCGUCGCUUUUGUGGACAGCGCAUCCAUUGUGGAAGACUGCAUCAGAUUCAAUGGUGUGGAGUACAGAGGGGAGCAACAGAGCUCCUCCACAGGACUAACCUGUCUAAACUGGACCAACACAACCCGGGACUAUGAUGUAAUGGCAUAUACAGAUUCACAAAUGGGCGUUGGGGACCAUAACUACUGCCGUAACCCAGACUCCUCUGAGAAGCCCUGGUGCUACGUGACUGACCUAGACGCACAGGCCCGGAGACAAUCCUGUGCCAUUGACACCUGCAAAGACGAAGCCCCUACAGAGGCAGGCCCCCUUACCACAGCACAGAGAGAGGUCUUUGAGCUGACSAAGUCUGGGUCAGCCCAGGGAGGGGGCGCUGCGGUCCAGCCAGUCAUUGGCAUCAGCCAGCGGAUACGCACAGGACCCAAGAAGAAGGACCUGGGCACUCUCGGCUAUGUGGUUGGCAUCCUCAUGAUGGCCAUCAUCAUCCUCAUGGGGGUGGGCAUCACCUUCGGCUACUUCUACAAGAGGGGUCGGGACCUGAAGAAGCAGCAUGAGCAGCGAGUGUAUGAGCGGGAGAUGCAGAGGAUCACCCUGCCCCUGUCGGCCUUCUCCAACCCAACCUGUGAGCUGGUGGAUGAGAACUCCAUCGUCAUCAUGGCCGAGGAGCAGACCCCCACCCAGGAGGGCAUGGAGGGGGGAGACCCCCUGAUGGGCCAGCAGGCUGGUACCCCAGGAGCCUGAGCACUGACCACCCCACUGGACUGGGAAUGAACAAGGACAUUCGAACCUCAGAGGAUCCAAAUACUCCCCUCAGCCCCCAAAUCACCCCCCUUUUUUAAAGGCCUAUGAGGAGAAGGGGAGCAGGGCUGAGCUCCAAAGACUAAACUGUUUCCUUAUUGCCCUGGUUUUAACACACGUGUCACCAACAGGGGAAAAAGAUGACAACAGGUGGAAUUGAAGGACUAAUUUCACUCCACAUGGAGACCAAUCGGGGAUGGUUGUGUACAAAAGUGCAUGUCAGGGAUGCUCAUUAAGAAACAGUGCAUUUGAUAUCCAAGAAAACAUGAUCAUGGGCUGACGCUCUGCUAUAGCAGUAUGAUUGUCUUGUGAAUGGGAUGUGCAUCAAUCAACAUUAAUGAUGGAGGGGGAUGUUAUAAGCUUUGGAUGAAGAGUAGGAGACAGUGUUUGGAAAGGGGGAAUUCAUAGCCUUUACUUAUUCUUUCUUUUUCAUAUUGAGGUGUUCGGCAGUUUGGUGUUAUGGGCUUACCUGAGAAAACAAUGCUACACUUCCCCUGGCCCUUUUGGCUUUGCUAGGGCGGGUAUGGGGAGGGCAUCUACUAUAGGAAUAGGAUAGCCCUGUUAAACAUCUGCGUUAGACAUCAUAAAGACCAUUGGAACAGAUGUGGAGUAAUUAGUUAGCAUCAGGGAACGAAGACCGUUGGAACAGAUGUGGAGUAAUUAGUUAGCAUCAGGGAACGAAGACCGUUGGAACAGAUGUGGAGUAAUUAGUUAGCAUCAGGGAACGAAGACCGUUGGAACAGAUGUGGAGUAAUUAGUUAGCAUCAGGGAACGAAGACCGUUGGAACAGAUGUGGAGUAAUUAGUUAGCAUCAGGGAACGAAGACCGUUGGAACAGAUGUGUGGAGUAAUAAUUAGCAUGAGGGAACAUUUAUGUCAGUUCUGCAAAAGGAAAGGAAACAUCUCCUGCUCUCUGAAGCUGUGACGUUGCCUUAGCAUAAUGCGUCUGAAUGUAUUUGUACAUGGUUCCCCUGGUGACCUUUCUGUUUAACUCAUAAGGCUGGGUGAUAGAAACCAAUGUGCAGUAACUAGAAACAUCAGGAGUCGUUGGCUUUACAUGAGAGGACAGGCUGUAUGGUUCCUUAGGUUAGAGACUGACAGGAAAAGGGAGACGUKUUUGUAAAUCGGAGAGUCUGUUCUCAGGAGGAAAUGCAGCAGCACAGCUGUGAAACAGAAUACAGCUUAGUCUGAGGUCUGGCUAGAACCGGACAGAGGCUGUCUGAAUGACGCUUGGGCAGAACAGAAGUCUGUUUAAAAGUUGAAGCCUGGGGCAUUAGAUUGAAUUUAGACCAUUUUGAAUUGUGUCCCAAAUGUCAGGGCGAGCAGACGAGCAAAGUAAAAGGGUAAUAAACAGGAUAUGAGUCCAAAACUGAGGUAACCUACCAUAUUAGAUAUUUACAGGAUGGAAUAAUUGCAUAAUAAGCAGCCUGUUGCAUGUUUUGAAACAGGAUGCUGAAAGUAAUGCCACAGUUGGUUAGAAAAUGUAACAUGUUAUUGACCAAUGUAAUAUCUUUCUGCUUUACAUGAUUUCUCUAUUCUGCUAAUGCAAUAUCUUGCAUCACUCCAAAUGGUUGUCUUUUGUGAUUUAGAGUUAAUCUUUGAAAUGGUUGUCAUUCUGCAUCACAUGUGGUUACUCUUCAAUCAUUGUGGUUCCUUAGUUUUGGUGCAAUGCUGUUUUUUAAAUGUUUCUUCACUGUUGCUCAUCAUUGGAAAUGAGUACUUGUAAGUUUGGCAGAUUUCAAUAAAAUUGACUUUGAAAAAGCA